rnacentral:misc_RNA from 1 species
ACAAAGGAAGAAAAAACAGAUAAUUUAUAAGGUACACACUCUUUCGACAAAAGAAAAGUCUAAUGAUCACCAGCUCUUUCCAUCAAAACUUCAGAACAGCAGAAAUCAUAUCUUGUUGAAAGCAACAAUAUCACAGCUCUGCACAUACUCAUUGAUAGGCUCAACUGUUAGAUAAUUCUCAAUGAGAUCAUCCACGGAGACCAAAUCAUCCACAAUGGUAAGCAUAAUUUGCAGCUUCUUAAUACCAUAUCCAACAGGAACAAGUUUAGAUGCUCCAAAAGUCAAUCCUUCCAUAGUAACACUUCGAACUGCUUCUUCAAGCUUUUUCAUAUCAGUCUCAUCAUCCCAUGGCUUGACAUCCAUGAGAACAGAGGACUUGCCAGAUUCUUUCUUCUUCCCUGAAGCCUUCAAUGCUGCAGCGCGUUCUUCAGCAGCUUUCUUUUCCUCUUCAGUCUCCUCACCAAAUAGGUCAACGUCAUCAUCGUCGUCAUCAUCGUCAGCAGCUGAGGCCUUACUGUCAUCAGCAGGGGGAGUUGCAACAGCCCCAGUGAUGGGUGCAGACCCCUCUACAAUAACACCAGCACCUUCACCGGAUACACCAGAGAUUCUCAAAAGUGCAUCAAUGUGCUUAUACCACCUCAAUGCAUUAACAUAUUCAGCUGAUGGAGGUUUUGCUAGAUAUGAAUACACAGUGAUAUCAUCCUUUGAUGCUUGGUACCCACUGAUGUAACUGCGGGUCAGGAGGAAGUCGUCAAGCUUCUUGAGGCCAGAUUCAGAGUUGACGUUCUGAAAUGCAACAGCCAUUGCUUGGUGCUAAUAUAUAUAUAAGCCUCUAUUGGAAGAGAUACA